AUAUUUUUAGAAGAUGUUGGUGCAAUCUUCCCAACAUGAAAAUAACAUAUUUAGUUAAGAUUUAACAAAGUUGAACAUUGUUUCCAAAUUUGUAUUCAUGAAUACGUGAUUGUUCACACGAGAUUUCGAAGAAACAUAUUUCGUGAAAUUGAACUUUGUUAUAUUGAUGAAUAUUGUGAAUACAAUCUCUAGUAUUUACUCAUUCGAUGAUUUCUCUCGAAUACAAGUUAAAAAUCUCGAAUACAAGUUAAAAAUUUAGAAUUUCUUGAUCUUCGGUCUUUAGGAUGUUGUAGUUGCCAGUCUAUUUGAGCUUCAGUCUUCUGGAAUUCAAGAAAAAUUGGAUCUUUCAUGUCUUCAAUCUUUAAGAAGUUGAUGAUCUCGAAGUUGAUAAGAACUUGUACGUCUUGAGAGCUUUAUAGAAGUUUGAAUCUUCAAUUUUUUAGAGCUUCAGUACUUCAGAGCUUCAAUUCUUCAUUCAACCAAAGACCUCUCAAAUGAAUAACAAAUGUCUCUAUUUAUAGAGAAAAUUUGUGGGCUAGGUGGGCUUGGGUCCAUUUGCUUGUUGGGCUUGGGCUUGGACCAAUUUGCUUGUUUGCCCUGAGAAAAUUAUUAGUUUUCCUAUUGAGUAGUUACCUUGCCGGUGUCCUAUGGGAUCACCACCUUUAUGUGCAUCCUUCGAGAUCACAAGACUGAUAUGUGCAUCCUUCGGGAGCACUAGACUGAUAUGUGUUUCUGCAGAACACUAGACUGAUUAUGCAUCCUUCGGGACGUUAGACUGAUUGCGUAUAUUCUACUGGAUCACAAGACUGUGACUGUGCAGGGCAAAGGUAACAAGGGAGGCAGACCGACGAGGGGCAGGAAGGAAGCGUGAUUGCCAAAGGGGACAUUUUAAUUUGCUUCAGCUUAAUGUUUUCUUUCUCGUGUUUUGUUUUAGUACUUGAAACUGUUUAGAAAAUUUUAUAGUUUAAGUGCAUUCACGAAUUGAUGGUUGGUUAACCUUUCUUGGAAGUUUUGGUUAUUUUAAACAGGACCCAUAUAUAAAUUUUUGCUUUCUUUGA